GGUUUAUUAUGGAUCCCCAUCAGUUCCUGCCAAGGCAGCAGCUACUCUUCCUGGGGUUUAUUAUGGAUCCUCAUUAGUUCCUGUCAAGGCAGCAGCUACUCUUCCUGGGGUUUAUUAUGGAUCCCCAUCAGUUCCUGUCAAGGCAGCAGCUACUCUUCCUGGGGUCCAGUUAAAUUAAGGCAGUUUAUACAAUUUUAAAAACAUUACAAUACGUUCAUAACAGAUUUCCCAACACACUGUGUGCCCUUAGGCCCCUACUCUAUCACAUAUCUACAGUACAAAAUCCAUGUGUAAGUGUGUGUAUAGUGCUUAUAUUAUCGUGUGUGUGUAUGCAUGUGUCUGUGCCUAUGUUUAUGUUGCUUCACAGUCCCCGCUGUUCCAUAAGGUGUUUUUUUAAUCUAAUUUUACUGCUGGCAUGAGUUACUUGAUGUGAAAUAGAGUUCCAUGUAGUCAUGUCUCUAUGUAGUACUGUGCACCUCUCAUCGUCUGUUCUGGACAUGGGGACUAUGAAGAGACCUCUGGUGGCAUGUCUUGUGGCGUAUGCAGUACCAGUAGUUCAAACAGACUGCUCGGUGCAUUCAACAUGUCAAUACCUCUCAUAAAUACAAGUAGUGAUGAAGUCGAUCUCUCUUCUACUUUGAGCCAGGAGAGAUUGACAUUCAUAUUAUUAAUAUUAGCUCACGGUGUACAUCCAAGGGUCAGCCGUGCUGCCCUAUUCUGAGCCAAUUGCAAUUUUCCAAAGUCCCUAUUUGUGGCACCUGACCACAUGACUGAACAGUAGUCCAGGUUUCGACAAAACUAGGGCCUGUAGGACCUGCCUUGCUGAUAGUGCCAUUAAGAAGGUAGAGCAGUGUUACUCCAAGCAGUUUAGUCACCUCGGUACUACACAACUUGCUCAAUUUCUACAUUGUUUAUUAAAAGAAGACAGCAGCUCUUUGUUAAGUUUUGCAGUCAUUUCAGUUGCUGUAGUAGCUGACAUGUAAAGUGUUCAAUCAAAUUUAUAUAUAAAGCCCUUCUUACAUCAGCUGAUGUCACAAAGUGCUGUACAGAAACCCAGCCUAAAACAGCAAGCAAUGCAGGUAUAGAAGCACAGUGGCUAGGAAAAACUCCCUAGAAAGGCCGGAACCUAGGAAGAAACAUAGAGAGGAACCAGGCUAUGAGGGGUGGCCAGUCCUCUUCUGGCUGUGCCGGGUGGAGAUUUAUAACAGAACAUGGCCAAGAUGUUCAAAUGUUCAUAGAUGACCAGCAGUGUCAAAUAAUAAUAAUCACAGUAGUUGUCGAGGGUGCAACAGGUCAGGACCUCAGGAGUAAAUGUGAGUUGGCUUUUCAUAGCCGAUCAUUCAGAGUAUCUCAACCGCUUCUGCUGUCUCUAGAGGGUUGAAAACAGCAGGUCUGGGACAAGGUAGCACGUCCGGUGAACAGGUCAGGGUUCCACAGCCGCAGGCAGAACAGUUGAAACUGAAGCAGCAGCACAACCAGGUGGACUGGGGACAGCAAGGUCCUAGGGCUCAGGUCCUCCAAGAGAGAGAGAGAGAAAAAAGCGAAUUAGAGAGAGCAUACUUAAAAAUCACACAGGACACCGGAUAAUACAGGAGAAAUAGUCCAGAUAUAACAGACUGACCCUAGCCCCCCGACACAAACUAUUGCAGCAUAAAUACUGGGGGCUGAGACAGGAGGGGUCGGGAGACACUGGCCCAGUCCGACAAUACCCCCAGACAGGGCCAAACAGGCAGGAUAUAACCCCACCCACUUCCAGAGCACAGCACCCACACCACUAGAGGGAUAUAUUCAACCACCAACUUACUAUCCUGAGACAAGGCCGAGUAUAGCCCAUGAAGAACUCCCCCAUGGCACGAACCCAAGGGGGGGAGCCAACCCGGACCGGAAGAUCACGUCAGUGACUCAACCCACUCAAGUGAUGCACCCCUCCUAGGGACGGCAUGGAAGAGCACCAGUAAGCCAGUGACUCAGCCCCUGUAAUAGGGUUGAGGCAGAGAAUCCCAGUGCAGAGAGGGGAACUGGCCAAGCAGAGACAGCAAGGGCGGUUCGUUGCUCCAGUGCCUUUCAGUUCACCUUCACACUGGGCCAGACUACAGUCAAUCAUAGGACCUACUGAAGAGAUGAGUCUUCAAUAAAGACAUGAAGGAUGUGACCGAGUCUGCAUCUCUCACAUGGAUAGGCAGACCAUUCCAUAAAAAUGGAGCUCUAUAGGUGAAAGCCCUGCCUCCAACUGUUUGUUUAGAAAUUCUAGGGACAGUAAGGAGGCCUGCGUCUUGUGAUCGCAGAGUACUUGUAGGUAUGUACAGCGGGACCAAAUCGGAAAGAUAGGAAGGAGCAAGCCCAUGUAAUGCUUUGUAGGUUAGCAGUAAAACCUUGAAAUCAGCCCUUGUCUUAACAGGAAGCCAGUGUACAAAGGCUAGCACUUGAGUAAUAUGAUCAAAUGUUUUGGUUCUAGUCAAGAUUCUAACAGCUGUGUUUAGCACGAACUGAAGUUUAUUUAGUGCUUUAUCCUGGUAGCUGGAAAGUAGAGCAUUGCAGUAGUCUAACCUAGAAGUGACAAAAGCAUGGAUUCAUUUUUCUGCAUAAUUUUUGGACAGAAAGUUUAAGAUUUUUGCAAUGUUACGUAGAUGGAAAAAAGCUGUCCUUGAAACAGUCUUGAUAUAUUCGUCAAAAGAGAGAUCAGGGUCCAGAGUAACGCCGAGGUCCUUUACAGUUUUAUUUUAGACGACUGAACAACCAUCAAGAUUAAUUGUCAGAUUCAACAGAAGAUCUCUUUGUUCCUUGGGACCUAGAACAAGCAUCUCUGUUUUGUCUGAGUUUAAAAGUAGAACAUUUGCAGCCAUCCUCUUCCUUAUGUCUGAAACACAAGCUUCCAGGGAGGGCAAUUUUGGGGCUUCACACCAUGUUUCAUCGAAACAUACAGCUGUGUGUAGUCCGCAUAGCAGUGAAAGUUAACACUGUUUCUGAAUGACAUCACCAAGAGGUCAAAUAUAUAGUGAAAAAAAUAGUUUUAUAGUGAAAACAAUGUCGGAAAACCGACAUUUACAGUUGAUUUGUCAGAGGACAAACAAUCUAGAGACAAACUGAUAUCUUUCCAACAGAUAAGAUCUAAACCAGGCCAUAACUUGUCCGUGGAGACCAAUUUGGGUUUCCAAUCUCUCCAAAAGAAUGUGGUGAUCGAUGGUAUCAAAACCAGAGCCUCGGUAGUUUUUUUGUGGAAUUGUUAGUUAGAUUACUUGCUCGUUAUUACUGCAUUGUCGGAACUAGAAGCACAAGCAUUUCGCUACACUCGCAUUAACAUCUGCUAACCAUGUGUAUGUGACAAA
ensembl:lncRNA